CCAAAGUCAUCUCCUGGACCUGUGCUGGGGUCUAGGGGACUAAUUUGGGAGGUUCUUUUUCCGCUCAGAUUAGCAUCACCAAUAAAAAACUGUUGCUGAGACUGGAACAGCACAAGUUAAUUCACUGGCCAGAGCAUGGAGAAGCCUGCUCUGGCUUCUGAACCUAGUUCAAAAAUCAAUUUCUCAACCUGAUUAGGGCUGAGACAUCAUAUAUACAGGAAGGUCGAGGUAAUUGGGAAGAAAUUGCGUGAAGAGAGGAAAGAAUAUUUAUAACUUAUCUGAGAACAGGGAUAUGGUUUGUGGAUCCAGUACCGAGGCAACGAUCCUUUUCAGUCCUUUUUUGUGCUCCUCUGAUUGUUGCCAUGGGAACUGUCAAUUGUUGUGAUGCUGGUAGGUGUGUCACUUAGCAUGCUAAUGUGUUACAGUGCGUGGAUAAUGAGGCUCAAGGUCUACUGAAGGUCUGGUCUUCGCCCUCUUGUGCCUAGCCUUCUAAUCAGUUCUUGCUUGUUUUUUUUGCAGCUUCCUCCUUCAGAAAAGAACAGUUAAUUUCCAUUCCAGGGAAGAGCAGCUAUAUGAUUCUGGGGCAACACCUGUUAUCAGAAAUAGGAGGGCAGAGGAUUGUCAACAACCCCUUGGAGUGUGUAGUGUUCUGUCCAUGUAGAAAUGCCAGGUGGAUCCAGUUCCUGAUGACAUCUUCUUAUAGUAUUUUGUGUGGCAGGCUCCUUGCACAGGACUGGAAGGAGGAAUGACUGCUCUGAAGAACAUAUUCUGAAAGAGUGCAACACAAUAGAGAAGACCUGCCUCAGAGACAAGGGAAUGAACUCUUUUUAGCCUACAUUUGUCUCCAUUUGUUAAAUGAACAAAAUGAUUGCCUAACUCAAUUUUUAUAGAUGGCAAAUAUUUUACUAAAGAAAAAACAUGAGAAUUAAGAUAAUCAAAUCUAAAUAAGUUACAUAAAAUUAAAAAGCAACCACUUUUGCUUCAAUUAUCUAGAUAUCAAGUUUUUUUGUUUGCUUUGCUUAAAUUCCUCAUAUAUCUUCUUCAUGUUUUUCUUUUAUAAUGUUGUAGUUUCCUUGUCUUUGUUAGUAUAUAUUCAAAAUAACUGGUUUUACUCAUUUGUUAAGAAACCUUGAAAAUGAAUGCAUAACUUGAGUAAUAAAACUUGAAAUUUUAAAA